CGUAGGUGGCAAGCGUUGUCCGGAUUUAUUGGGUUUAAAGGGUGCGUAGGCGGCCCUGUAAGUCAGUGCUGAAAUAUCCCAGCUUAACUGGGAGGGUGGCAUUGAUACUGCGGGGCUAGAGUACAGAUGAGGUAGGCGGAAUUGACGGUGUAGCGGUGAAAUGCUUAGAUAUCGUCAAGAACACCUAUAGCGAAGGCAGCUUACUAGGCUGUAACUGACGCUGAGGCACGAAAGUGUGGGGAUCAAACAGGAUUAGAUACCCUGGUAGUCCACACUGUAAACGUUGAUUACUAGCUGUGUGCGAUAUACAGUACGCGGCCAAGCGAAAGCGCUAAGUAAUCCACCUGGGGAGUACGCCGGCAACGGUG
rnacentral:rRNA from 1 species